rnacentral:rRNA from 1 species
CGGAGGGGGCGAGCGUUGUCCGAAGUUACUGGGCGUAAAGCGCGCGUAGGCGGGUUGCUAAGUCCGCUGUGAAAGCCCGAGGCUCAACCUCGGAGGGUCGGUGGAUACUGGCAGCCUUGAAGGUGGUAGGGGGAGAUGGAAUUACCGGUGUAGCGGUGAAAUGCGUAGAGAUCGGUAGGAACACCAGUGGCGAAGGCGGUCUCCUGGCCCACUCUUGACGCUGAGGCGCGAAAGCGUGGGGGAGCGAACGGGAUUAGAUACCCCGGUAGUCCCAGCCCUAAACGAUGGAUACUAGGUGGUCGGGGGUAUCCGACCCCCCGGUGCCGCCGCUAACGCAGUAAGUAUCCCGCCUGGGGAGUACGGCCGCAAGGUUG